AAACAUGUCUUUUUGAAUAUAAUUUAAAGUCUAAUCUGCUCCAUGAUUAAUAUUAAAUAGCUGCAGUAUAUUAACUGUACAAAGGUAGCAUAAUCAAUAGUUUUUUAAUUAAAAGCUGGAAUGAAUGAUUUUAUAAGGUAAAUAUUGUCUCAAAUUUAAUAAUUUUAAAAAUUUUUUUUUAGUAAAAAUACUAAAUUGAAUUUAAAAGACGAGAAGACCCUAUAGAUUUUUAUAAUUAAUUAUUUAAUUAGUUUAAAAGUAAAUUAUUAUAUUAAAUAUUUAAAUAUUUGAUUGGGGAAAUUAUUAAAUUUAAAUAAUUUUAAUUUUUAAUAAACAAAAAUUAUUGAUAUAUUGAUCUUAAAUUUAAAAAUAAAAGAAUAAAUUACCUUAGGGAUAACAGCGUAAUUUUUUUAAAGAGAUCAUAUUGAUAAAAAAGUUUGCGACCUCGAUGUUGAAUUAAGAUAAAAUUUUAAUGAAGAAGUUAAAAAUUUUUGGUCUGUUCGACCAUUAAAAUCUUACGUGAUCUGA
rnacentral:rRNA from 1 species